UGGCGAUGAGGAGAUAAUUGCCUGUUGAAUGACGGUGAUAGUCGGAUACGCUAUUCUGAGCCAGCA